GACGAACGCUGGCGGCGUGCUUAACACAUGCAAGUCGAACGGAAAGGCCCUGCUUUUGUGGGGUGCUCGAGUGGCGAACGGGUGAGUAACACGUGAGUAACCUGCCCUUGACUUUGGGAUAACUUCAGGAAACUGGGGCUAAUACCGGAUAGGAGCUCCUGCUGCAUGGUGGGGGUUGGAAAGUUUCGGCGGUUGGGGAUGGACUCGCGGCUUAUCAGCUUGUUGGUGGGGUAGUGGCUUACCAAGGCUUUGACGGGUAGCCGGCCUGAGAGGGUGACCGGCCACAUUGGGACUGAGAUACGGCCCAGACUCCUACGGGAGGCAGCAGUGGGGAAUAUUGCACAAUGGGCGGAAGCCUGAUGCAGCAACGCCGCGUGCGGGAUGACGGCCUUCGGGUUGUAAACCGCUUUCGCCUGUGACGAAGCGUGAGUGACGGUAAUGGGUAAAGAAGCACCGGCUAACUACGUGCCAGCAGCCGCGGUGAUACGUAGGGUGCGAGCGUUGUCCGGAUUUAUUGGGCGUAAAGGGCUCGUAGGUGGUUGAUCGCGUCGGAAGUGUAAUCUUGGGGCUUAACCCUGAGCGUGCUUUCGAUACGGGUUGACUUGAGGAAGGUAGGGGAGAAUGGAAUUCCUGGUGGAGCGGUGGAAUGCGCAGAUAUCAGGAGGAACACCAGUGGCGAAGGCGGUUCUCUGGGCCUUUCCUGACGCUGAGGAGCGAAAGCGUGGGGAGCGAACAGGCUUAGAUACCCUGGUAGUCCACGCUGUAAACGGUGGGUACUAGGUGUGGGGUCCAUUCCACGGGUUCCGUGCCGUAGCUAACGCUUUAAGUACCCCGCCUGGGGAGUACGGCCGCAAGGCUAAAACUCAAAGGAAUUGACGGGGCCCCGCACAAGCGGCGGAGCAUGCGGAUUAAUUCGAUGCAACGCGUAGAACCUUACCUGGGUUUGACAUGGAUCGGGAGUGCUCAGAGAUGGGUGUGCCUCUUUUGGGGUCGGUUCACAGGUGGUGCAUGGCUGUCGUCAGCUCGUGUCGUGAGAUGUUGGGUUAAGUCCCGCAACGAGCGCAACCCUUGUUCACUGUUGCCAGCACGUUAUGGUGGGGACUCAGUGGAGACCGCCGGGGUCAACUCGGAGGAAGGUGGGGAUGACGUCAAGUCAUCAUGCCCCUUAUGUCCAGGGCUUCACGCAUGCUACAAUGGCUGGUACAGAGAGUGGCGAGCCUGUGAGGGUGAGCGAAUCUCGGAAAGCCGGUCUCAGUUCGGAUUGGGGUCUGCAACCCGACCUCAUGAAGUCGGCGUCGCUAGUAAUCGCAGAUCAGCAACGCUGCGGUGAAUACGUUCCCGGG
rnacentral:rRNA from 1 species